UCCUGUUGCCUUCGCGCGCUCUUCUUCAGUCGCUUCCGGUCUGUCAAAGAGAUGGAGGCUUUGACUCACGGAAGAUACGAAGUUGGAGGCAGUGGUGGUCACAGUGGUCCGGGUGGAAGAGGAGGAAUGCCUGAGUGCUUUGGCAAGGAAGGUCCACAUCACAGCAUUGCAGGAAUGAUCAGAAAACACACCUGUCCCUGGUCGUCAAUCAGUAGGCUUCUUAUGCCAACCUCUGAACAACACUGAUUCAUUGUGGGGUUUUCAUGAAUUUUAAGACUUUGACUUUACAAGUGUGUACUGUUGUCGUGUGCCUGCCUGCACCUUGCCUAGCUUUUCUUUGUAUUUUACCAAGCUUUAUCUCACCCGUGGACCACUGCUUCGGUCAAGU